GGCUCUAUGUGGAAGUACAGUAAUGUAUGUAGCAAAGGGGUACUAAUAGACCGAGGGCUUGACCUC
rnacentral:rRNA from 1 species